ensembl:lncRNA
GUUUUUCAAGUUUUUGUCAACCUCUAGAUUCUAAAUGGGCAUAGCAGGGAUUUAGCCAGUCCCAGGACUCAGAUAGCUGUACAUCUGUCAUUUUAAAUGUACCGACCCAUGUGAAUGAGCUGUUUGUGACAAAUCCAUCUACAGAUCCUCCUCUUUGCAUGAAUCCCUGCACCCUUUAACAGCUCCAGACAAAUGAAACGUAGACUGAUGUCUGUCACUGGCCUGAGGUUGCCUCCAUAGUACUGUGACCUCUGUCCUCAUGGUUAUAUAUCACAGUGUGUCAUGGAAGUAAUAUUAAUGACCUUCUCUCAUCUGAUACCUCUUGUCCUGUUGAUGUUUUAAGGCUAUUCUCAGUAAUCUGAGGUCACUACCAUGCGUUACCUCUCUGGCUUUGGAUAAGCGGAGAUUGAGAGAAGCAGCCAUUAAAGAUGAUGGUUAGCAUCCAUAAGACCUGCGAGCUCUAUGUCAGUGUGCCUCAGUAUCCUUUGAAGUCCUAGAGAGUAUUUCAGCCUGGUGAACAUCCGAUGCCUUUCACCCAACCUACCCAUAAUAAGUAUGGGAGAGCCACAGUUCAUUGUAGUGUUUGGUCAGAACACUUUCCGGCAGAGGGGUCUAUGGAGACACCAGUGGGAUCAUCUGAAAGCGGAUGAUCUAGUGGUCCUCUGCAUUUGGCUGGAUUGCCCUAAGAAGGGACAGUUGCUGCUUUUUGAAGGCUGAAGGUCUCAAAAUAAUUCUUCUCAAAUGGACCUAACUGGAGGCUCAGGUCAUGUAUGGCAACUUAUGCAAAUUCCCAUGUUUGAUGGAGGUCCUGUUAUGCAUGGUGGAGCUACGCUGUGAGAACAUUGCUGUGCAGUUGGAAUGUGGAAACCUGAAUGGCCUACGUUAAACGAUUUUCCUGGUUUGUGCAACGUCUUUUCAAGAUUAAUUUCAAACCAUGGACUCUAUUGAACAUUCUUGCUCCACGGAAUUGUGUUGUUCUCAAUUGUAGCCACACUAAGAUUAAUUUGGUGCAAGCUAUAAAUGCUAUUAAAUUGUAAGAGAGGUUAUAUUGCAUGGUGGCAUUUUUCACCAAGAAUACUGAUUAUGCAUUCAGUUUAGAGAAUUGCUGGUUAUUUAGUUCAUUUCUAUAGGUAAUUGUAGUGUGUGUUACUUCAAGAGAGAUGGUCACAUAAUUUCUGAAGAGCUUCUAAAUUGAAUCAAAAUAUCUAUUUACAGUUGUUUGUUUAGUCUCUGUAAAUGGUCUUCCAUUCAAACCAGUCUGAAGCCUUAUGAAUUACCACUGAGUAGUCCUGUUUCACAGGGUCCAUUAUGGGUCCAACCACCUGUAGCAUUAGGCUGUCACAAAUUCCAUUAAUCCCAAGGAACUGGAAGCCAUUUUGUUGACCUGCUAGUUCAUUUUGUCACCACAUGAAUCUCUGUGGACAGAAUUGUCAAAACUACAGAGUUUGUGUUGACAGAUUUUUCAAAGCACAAGUCCAAAGAGGAAGUUCUGAACACCAAGUCCCCAAAUUCUGGCCUGCCAGUUGUGCUCACAGUAACCUUCCAAGAUGACACUUCAGCCCUCCGGGCUUGAUUAUGGGCUGGUUUUCAAGGUCUUUUUCCAAUUGGGUAAAUUACCUUGUGUAGAAAAAGAGGUUUGGCCAUGGUCAAGUAAUCCGUAGUUCAUUCCGUUAAAGCAAUAUUUCCAUUUGUGAUUGCACCUUGACUCGCUCACAAGCACAAGUACAACUGAAAAAUAGCUGGGCUGUAAUUAAGAUUGUCCGCAGCUUUGAAAACAUGUCCUAUUAGAUCUAAUGAACUGGCCAAGGUUGCAAACGGAUCCCAACAUCUAAAGUUUACAAAUAUGUGAUUUCGAAUGUAAGUAAGUGGCAUAAAGAAAAGCUAUUUGUUCCAACACACCAAUAAGGAAACAUUAUGCAUUCUACUGGAAGGGUGUUGUAGAUUUUAUUGAUCUUAUCUAGAGUAGCUCUUCUAGGCGUGGAUUGUUGCAUGUACGAGGGAUGGCAUGUUUGUUUAAUUUAACGCAGGGUUUAUCUUGAUUGAAUCUGAGCUUAUCCAGAAAUUUGACUGAUCAACUGUGAGUAGCAAAGGGAGUUUAACAUUGUUUAUAAGAACAUUUUUGCAGCCUGCUACUUCCCUUAAACCUGGAAACUAAACUUGAAUUAACAGCAAAGUAAAGUGAAUAAUGAUAAUCAGUGGGAUGUGUUUGAUGCAUUUGGCAUGGCUUUAUAUGUUUGCGGAUGUGUGUGGACGAUGAGUUGGUCUUGCAGUGGAAUACUAUAAUGCAGGAUUAAGGGAAACCACCUUGCAAUCACUACCUUUUGGUACUAGGACGUCCGUAUCCAUGUGCUAUGUGAGUUUUUGUGUGUGUGUGUGUGUGUGUGUGUGUAUAUGACUUAAUGUACUCAAGCAUUUCCCAUUUGAAGACUGAGGAUAUGUGCUCCUCACUACGUGGCGCUGAAUAUUUUGUAAGAAAUUUGUAUUUUUCCAUGUCUUGGCAUACUUUACACACGACUAGUUUACACUACCAGAAGCCCAAGGAUUCUGCUCUCCAAUUAGUCAAUCCUUAAAAAAAAAAAUACAUUCCCUUCUAGUUAUGGUAAGAUCGUGGUACUUCUAGUCUUUAAAAGUUUGUGGGCUUUUUUGUAUUUAGUUUGAUAGACUGUUUUGGUGUCCUAACAUGUUUGUGAACUUAACCCUUUGAAGAGGAUAUCUGAACACUGUUUUGAGUGAAAGCUUGAAUUCUUUUCCAAUCUGUAUCUGGAAUAAGGCUGUUGGUUGCCUUAAAACAUACAUUAUCAGAAGUUCUCAAUGUCCUCCCAAAGAGCCUGAGAGAGAGUGAGCCUCACAGCUCCCCUCCCCUCUGCUCAGCUGUGUGUAGAGACCUGGAAGAGGUGAACCAGUUAGCGUUAGCAUUAGCCCACAGGCGUUGGAGUGCAGCAGAGAACAUGCCAUACCUGAAGUCUGGCAGUAACCCGAGUCCCACCCACACUGGUGUUUCACUACUGCCACCUACUAGUGAGUGAGUGAGUGUGUGUGUCUGGUUGUUGUUGUCAGAGAAAGCAGGUGUUUAGUAAGGCUUAGAGGACGUAAGCAGCGAUGUAGUAGAUCCAAUAUGAAACCCUAAUUACCUCAAAACGUCAAUGACAGAAAUAAAUACAGAACUGACCACACUUUUCAUCUUCAAGUGGAUUUACGCUUCAUUUGUAAUACACACAUUCAUGCUAUUUUGGGGAAUUGUAAAAAAAAAAAAUGUUAAAAAAGGUAUUAGUAUUACAAUACUGAGUAUGGUUUUUCUGUUGUGCCUACCUCCAUAUUGUACAGGUCAUCUUUGUCUGCUAAGUGCAUAGCCACCUAUUUCUGUAGGUUAAAAGAAAAAAAAAGAUGGAGAAAUAUUUCCAUUUUUUCUAUCUUAAAAAAAAAAAAAGUUCAAAAUGAGUGACUGUGUCUGUCAUAUUCAAGUGUUGAGGAUUAGUCACAACCAACGACAGGAAUGUCUAAGCCAAGCUGUAAGUAGACCGACAAAAUCUCCUAGGUCCUAGUGCAGCAGUUUCUUUGAGAAUUUUUUAUCAAAGACAGAUCAGCUUCAAUGAGCCCAUCAAAAGCACCCUUUACUCAGUGAGCAGACGUCACCUUUUCCACAUCCUGACGGUGUGUUUGUGUAUGUUGUGUGUGUGCGCAUCAAGCCAUAUGUUACCACGUUUACAGCUGUUGUGUUAUAGGAAAUGUCUGACUGUGGAGUUGGUGUGUCAUGUGUCUGCGUCUUAAACUAACAUAACUCCAAAAGCAACAAAAUUACAGCAGCUCUGGUUCAAUUCAGGCUGAGUAAGGGUGCAUGCGGUGCGCUCCGUCUGAAGGAAACACAUUUAUCGUAUCCAGCCUUAAACCGCCAGAUGCAUCCCACCACAGAGGUCAGAUGUUAGGCAGGGCUCCCACUAAGCAAAAGGACCUCUUCAGACCCCUCCCCAAACCCUGCCCCCCCC